rnacentral:lncRNA from 12 species
CACUCACCCAAAUAAUCUGCCCUUGGACCCGGUUCUCCAGCUGCUUGACGCCAAGCCAUAUUCUCGCUCAGGGAUUUAUUUUCCCUGGCCCUGCUGGGAUACUAAAACCAACUUUCCGACUCAGCCAUAGCCUCAGCCUCCAGCCCCUGGACAAUAGCAAUACUGUGUGAUGACUACCAAGGACAGACUAAGAGGGAUGACUGUUUUAACAGCACUUUAUGACUCCUCAAGCUGGACUGGAAACAUCACCACAAGGAGAAAAAGAGACAAUACAAGAAGAAGGAAUUCAGCUAAGGAAAUAUUCAUUGUUUAUAUGACCCCUUGUGAUGAGAAUGGAGUAACUAACAUUCAUGAGAAUUGCCAAAUGAGGGCCCUUCCAAAAGGAAAGAUGUGAGAAAAACUGUUUUCGAACCUAGACGGGAAAGGAGAAGAUAAAACUGGGAGUUCAAGCCCCCUGAAAAUUUAAAUUUUGUAAGAUAAGUAGGUGUGUGAAGAAGCUAAAAGUAAUUUUAUUUCUUUUGUUACACAUUUGAUUUGUGUUAAGAACAAUUGGUACUCUCACAUAAUUAAAGCAGUUCUGACAUUUUGGUGUGUUUCAUUGUUGGGCUAUGCACAGAAUGUUCCUACUGUCUUUGUUAAUGUAUUUUGAAUAAAGAUGGGUUUUAUAUUCA